CCUACGGGAGGCAGCAGUGGGGAAUAUUGGACAAUGGGCGAAAGCCUGAUCCAGCCAUGCCGCGUGAGUGAUGAAGGCCCUAGGGUUGUAAAGCUCUUUCACCGGUGAAGAUAAUGACGGUAGCCGGAGAAGAAGCCCCGGCUAACUUCGUGCCAGCAGCCGCGGUAAU
rnacentral:rRNA from 1 species